rnacentral:rRNA from 1 species
AGCGAACGCUGGCGGCAGGCUUAACACAUGCAAGUCGAGCGGGCGUAGCAAUACGUCAGCGGCAGACGGGUGAGUAACGCGUGGGAACGCACCUUUUGGUUCGGAACAACACAGGGAAACUUGUGCUAAUACCGGAUAAGCCCUUACGGGGAAGAUUUAUCGCCGAAGAUCGGCCCGCGUCUGAUUAGCUAGUUGGUGUGGUAACGGCGCACCAAGGCGACGAUCAGUAGCNGGUCUGAGAGGAUGAUCAGCCAC